rnacentral:rRNA from 1 species
UACGUAGGGUGCAAGCGUUGUCCGGAAUUAUUGGGCGUAAAGAGCUCGUAGGCGGUUCGUCGCGUCGGCUGUGAAAUCCCGAGGCUCAACCUCGGGUCUGCAGUCGAUACGGGCGGACUGGAGUUCGGCAGGGGAGACUGGAAUUCCUGGUGUAGCGGUGAAAUGCGCAGAUAUCAGGAAGAACACCGGUGGCGAAGGCGGCUCUCUGGGCCUUACCUGACGCUGAGGAGCGAAAGCGUGGGGAGCGAACAGG